rnacentral:rRNA from 1 species
UACGACUACAUAUCAGGCAUAUCAAUAAGCGGAGGAAAAGAAACUAACUAGGAUUCCCUCAGUAACGGCGAGUGAAGCGGGAAGAGCUCAAAUUUGAAAUCUUCAAGGUUUUACCUUGACGAAUUGUAGUUUAAAGAAGUGUUUUCUGUUGGUGUUUUGGUAAAAGUUCUUUGGAAUAGGACAUCAUAGAGGGUGAGAAUCCCGUAUUUGACCAUUACUUUCCAGCGUUGUGAUACACUUUCAAAGAGUCGGAUUGUUUGGGAAUGCAGUCCAAAAUGGGUGGUAAAUUUCAUCUAAAGCUAAAUAUUGGCGAGAGACCGAUAGCGAACAAGUACCGUGAGGGAAAGAUGAAAAGAACUUUGAAAAGAGAGUUAAACAGUACGUGAAAUUGUCAAAAGGGAAGCGUUUGACACCAGUGUUGUUUUCUCGAAAAUCAAUUAAAAAGUAUGGGAUUUUGUAUUGUUAAGACCUUAUCAGCUUACGGUACCUUUUUUCUUAUUCUUUUUAAUGCACUUUUCGUUUAACAAGUCAACAUCAAUUUCUUUUGUUGUAAAAGAGUCAUUGGAAGGUGGCUUUCACUUCGGUGAAAGUGUUUAUAGCCUUUGGCUUCUGCAAUCGGAGAGAUUGAGGUCUGCAGCGUAGAUCCUUCGGGGUUAGAUACGUAGAUGCUAAGUUAUAGUUUUUCAUAGACAACUUAUUGACUAUGAUUAAUCAUGUAGCUUACUCGUUUGCGCUAUUUUACCUACGCUUAGGAUGUUGAAUCUGUGCGAGACUAC